GACGAACGCUGGCGGCGUGCUUAACACAUGCAAGUCGAACGGAAAGGCUCCUUUGGGGGUAUUCGAGUGGCGAACGGGUGAGUAACACUUGAUUAUCCUGCCCUUGACUUCGGGAUAACUUCAGGAAACUGGGGCUAAUACCGGAUAGGAAUCCUUGCUGCAUGGUGUGGGUCGGAAAGCGUCGGCGGUUUUGGAUGGAUUCGCGGCUUAUCAGCUUGUUGGUGGGGUUGUGGCUUACCAAGGCGUUGACGGGUAGCCGGCCGGAGAGGGCGACCGGCCACAUUGGGACUGGGAUACGGCACAGACUCCUACGGGAGGCAGCAGGGGGGAAUAUUGAACAAUGGGCGGAAGCCUGAUGCAGCAACGCCGCGUGCGGGAUGACGGCCUUCGGGUUGUAAACCGCUUUCAGCAGGGGCGAAGCUUGUGGUGACGGUACCUACAGAAGAAGCACCGGCUAACUACGUG
rnacentral:rRNA from 1 species